rnacentral:lncRNA from 1 species
CUCUGCCUAAAGCCAAGAACAAAGAAAUCAACAGAAACAUUGGCUUUAUGUAGUCAAAGUCUUACCCUUGAAACAUCUGCAGGAUGAAGAGGUUUAAAAAACAGUGUUCUCUACAGUCAAGUGUAUCUGAAGGACAAAAUAAGAACAGGACAUUGACAAGGUUGGGAAGAACCGAAGUCAUCCUUUUGUCCCUCUUGAAAGGUGAAGGUCCUGAGGUCAGAGAGGUGGCUGGAUUUGUUGAAAUCUCAGAGCAGUUUAGAAGACUAUUUUCAAGAACUGUGUUGGGAGGCUGCCACGUGUCUGACUUAGAGCCAAGAUGGGCACAAGAAUGGAGAAUAAGACCCAGUUUGUGCCAGGAGAAUUUUAUUGAAUUCUUUCUGGAAAAAAUAAACAUGAGACAACCAGCCAUUUGGAAACAAGAAACUAAGGAACUGUUGAACAAGAUGAAGACAAGAGUUUUACCUAAAUCACAGCCCCUGUCUGUACAGCACAAGCAUGAUGCCGCCUCAAAGUGGAAUAUGAAAUCUAUAUCUGCAAUUCUGAGGACUCUUUGUCCAUUAAACAAUGUGAGAAAACAGAGAAAGAGUAAGAAGCCUUAGAACCCCUCCUGAAACCAGAGAAAGGAUAGAAGUGCUUGUGCCUGGAGACCUGAGUGACCUUCUCCAGCCUGAGCAGGGAGUGGAUAUGAGGCUGGCUGACACACCCGUUUGACAUUACACAUCCUCUGCUUGUGAAGAUGACUCACUUCAAAUCAUCGCAGGACUCCUUGUUCACAUAUGCUUAACAUAGCCGAAUUCAUCUUCAGUUUGCCAACUGUUCUAUAGAAUUAUUUUGCACCCUGGAGAAUUGAUCUGUUUACCUCAAGGCAAGUCAAUGUGAUAUAUAUUUUCUUAUAUGAAAAAUACAAGGAAAGUUUCUG